CAGGCGGUCUGUCAAGUCGGAUGUGAAAUCCCCGGGCUCAACCUGGGAACUGCAUUCGAAACUGGCAGGCUAGAGUCUUGUAGAGGGGGGUAGAAUUCCAGGUGUAGCGGUGAAAUGCGUAGAGAUCUGGAGGAAUACCGGUGGCGAAGGCGGCCCCCUGGACAAAGACUGACGCUCAGGUGCGAAAGCGUGGGGAGCAAACAGGAUUAGAUACCCUGGUAGUCCACGCCGUAAACGAUGUCGAUUUGGAGGUUGUGCCCUUGAGGCGUGGCUUCCGGAGCUAACGCGUUAAAUCGACCGCCUGGGGAGUACGGCCGCAAGGUUAAAACUCAAAUGAAUUGACGGGGGCCCGCACAAGCGGUGGAGCAUGUGGUUUAAUUCGAUGCAACGCGAAGAACCUUACCUGGUCUUGACAUCCACAG
rnacentral:rRNA from 1 species